CAGGUGGAUUUCUUCUUGGCUCACCAGCUUGGUGUCAUUCAACGCCCUGGAAAAACAUUCAUGGUAGUGAAGGAUUCCCUCUGAGCUGCCUUCUGAGGCAGGACCUGCAACGUGGCCACAGUCAGUCCCCUCCCUGGUGCUCGUGCUGGGAAAGGACGCUGGGAACGGGGUGGCUCCAAGGACGUGAGCCCCCCGACUGAGCGCCCGAUGAGCACCCACACUGCCAACGAGGGGCCUGCCCCUGGCACACGCACUCGCUUACCCUUAGGCAACAUGAAACCAGCCACCUAUUCUUUCCGAGGGCUCAUGCUGUUUCAUCCUCAAAGGAGGAGGCCAGUCAUUACCUGUCACACAUCAAAUGGCUCUCCAUUAGCCCCGAGAGCUGCGCUAAAGCCACCUCCCCUCUCCACUCCUGGAAGACAGGACGUCUGGCAAAAAUGCCCCGAGGCUAUUGUGUGCCGGUUCUUCUGGUUGGCAAGAAUACACCUGAUGGUGGAAAAUUGAUUCAAAGGCAACGAAACAAAGGAGGCUGUUCUUUCAAGGAUCGGUCCAGGGGUACGGGAAGGUUUUGGCUGGUAAUUCCCAUUAACAUUACUAGAAGUGACUCAUGUAAUUCCCCCACCCGCUGAGAGAGGAAUACAGGCUUCUCCACCCCAAGAUUUUUUCCCCCAUGCUGUUAAGGCUCAUGAAUGUGGAUGCUGAACUUCCCAGGGACAGGCGGUCAGACACCAUGAAGUUCUUUCCAGGCAAACAGAGCUGGUCUGAUGCCACAGUGCCCGUGCGAGGGGGCGGCCAGGCUGGGCAAGGAAACGUGCUUGGUGCUCUCACAGCCAACUGCCAUUUAGUUUAGAGGCGUCACAGGGGAGGGGAGGACUAAAGAGGGUUCUUGCCUCUGCAGUACUUACAACCUGUAAAAUCAUGUGUGCUCGGCUCUAGAGAUUAAAACGUCAUGGUACCCAACGAGGACUAAUUCAUUUCCUGGAGAGGAACGGUAGGGCACAGAGCACCAUGAAGAAAAGGAGCCUGUGUACCCUCUGUCACAAGCAUCCUCUUCCAGAGAACUCUGGAAACAGUGCACAGACGUUAAAGAAUUCAUCACUAAGAACAUAUUUGUGAAAUGCUAAAAAAAAAUAAAUAAAGGAAAAGAAAAUUUAAAAACCAUGCUUCUCAGAUCACAGCCAUUUUCCUUGUAAGAAACAGAUUACUGCAGCCCCUCCUAAUAAAAGUUGUAACAUGACAAGGGCAAUCAGUC